GAGAUAAAAUUUAUCCAAAUUAGAGUUAGGUUAUAUUUAAAUCUUUAUAAUUAGAGUAGAAUCUACUUACACUAAGAUUCGGAUGUUGAGAAUCUGGUAACUGCUCUUAUACCAUUUGCUGAGAAUUUAGUACUUGCUCUACCUUCAGUUGUUGAGAAUUUGCAAUCCGCCCUGAUACUAAUUGUUUUAAAUCAGAUACUCACUCUAGUACUGAUUAUUACGAUUCUGCAACAAAAGCGUCCAAUUGAAUUUUUACUGAAAAUACCUCUACUCAAUGAAAGCUAAGACAAUCACAAAAGAAGAAAAUAAUUAUAUCCAACUCUUUUUUUACAUAGAGUCUUCAAAACGAACUCUCUUUCUCAAUCUCUCUCCCCCUCAAUCGUCUUCUAUAAAUCCAGAAAACUUCUCCUUUUCUCUCACAUGCACUCGCGCACUAG
rnacentral:lncRNA from 1 species